rnacentral:lncRNA from 1 species
AUCUUCAUAAUUUCCUCUCUUUAAUAAUUAAUUAAUUAAUAAAUAAUAAAAUAAAUACUCCUUGUAUUAUAUUUUAUUCAAAAAAUAAAAUCCCAAAUAAUUCAAAAGCCCCAUCUUCUUCUCCCCACCCCUUCAAUUCUUCCACCAAAUCCACAAUAAAAAUCUUUUCUCACAAAAAAAAAAAAAAAAAAAAAUCAGAUUUUAUGGUUUUGCAAUAAUUGAUUGAUUGAUUGAUUGAUUGAUAGAUAAGAGAGAUGCUGCACUUGUUCUUCGCGGUGGCGUUUUCGGCGGUGCCGCUGACUAUGUACAUACCACCGAUAAGAAGCUUGAAUGUGUUUGUGGAGAUAAUUGAAGAUGUGUGGAAGGAAUCCAGUGCGCACACUCUUAGGGUGUACCCUCGUCUUAGAUCCGCUUGUUCCAGGAUCUUCAACCGUAUCUUCUUCUUCUAGAUAAUUUUUUUUUUUUUUUUUGAUUUGUGAUGGGAAAUGGAUUUGUUGAUGUAAAUUAUGUGAAUAAAGAAGAAGUUUUUACUAUUAAUAUUUUGGUGGAACAAUUUUAAUUUUGGAACAAUUCUAUAAAUGUUGAGAGAAUUAGAAUUAUGGGUGAAAUUGUAAGUUAUGAAAUUAUCUUUUUAAUUAAAAGAAGCAAAAAACAAUUAGGACUAGAUUGUAAAUUUUGAAAAUUUAAAAACCUACUUAUAAUACUGACAUUUUGAAGUGUUGGAGCUAAUUGUAAUUUAGUUUAAACUUUUAAUUAAAAGUGAAAACCCUAGUUUGAGAUUUCUUUAAAUCAUCGUUUGAGAGCUGGAGAAGUAAUUAGACGAUCCAUGUUGUUCCAAUUCGUUCUAGCCCGCUCCGAUAUGCUUGACAGCUGCGGCCAUUCGAUUUAUGGCAAGGUAAGGAAAGAGAAACCGAUGAUGAAAACACACACACAACAUUUCGCCGCCGUCGCCACUUCCACUGCCAUAAAGACACCACACGACAUCUCGCAGCACAGCCCCUAAAGGAGUCGUAAUCGAACCCUUCCAAACGCAAACCCACUCAGCCGUGCACCGCCUCUCGGUGGAUUUCCGCAGCCUUAUAGCAGUCGGUGAGUCCCAAUUGCAGAGACUAUGACGCGUUUCACGAGCUCCUCAUCAUCUAGCAGAAGGUCGAAGGCGUAGAAGGCGGUGCCAACAGACUUCGAUAACUACAGCGGCGUAGAGAGAAGCGGCGGGGAGAGAGAGGAAUGCUAUUUUUUUUUCCUUUUUACUUUUUUUUUCCUCUUUAAAUUGUUGGAGUGAGUAGUUGAAGGGUAUAAUUGAGAAUAUGUAAAAUAGUGAAGUGGUGUGAGAAAUUUGAUCUGAGUCCAAAUAGCCAAUGUUUACCUCUCAC